ensembl:lncRNA
UCCAGUCUCGUCUCUCUGGUUGUCUACCCAGAGAUUGUUAUGUAUCCCAAAGUCAAAGCUAAAGUGCAGGGGUAACUGUGCUUUCUUAGUAAUUGCCCCCAGACUGUGGAAUGCUCUACCCUUCAGUAUUAGAUCUGCAUCGUCGCUAUCUGUUUUUAAAUGCAAGUUGAAAAUCUUUUUCGUUGAUUUAGCGUAUUAUUAAUGAGUAUUUUUUUAUUGCACAGUUUUUAGUCAUUAUUCUCUAUCGUCUUAUGUCUUUUUCUGUUUUCUUUUUUUUUUCAUUGUGCAGCACAUUGAUCAACCUAUGUUGUGCUUAAUAGUGCUUUAUAAAUAUAAAUGACAUUGACAUGACACUUCAUUUGCACCAAAACCAUAAAUAAAACUCAAACCUAAUUGUUAAAAGCCUCAGAAACCUAAUUGUUACUUAUUGUUUUCUACUGAUUCUCUCACAGAGUACAAUAAACCAGUCCAGAUCCUGAAUGAAAGUAUGUGGGUUUUUCCCCCUGACACCAUACUCUCAUAUUUAUAUUAUUGUCCUGUACUCAUAGACCUUUUGAUAAUAAGCAACAAUACCUCCAGUUCCUGGGAAACAGUGUUUGCUGCCUUGUGCAUGUUAGAUGCUUUGGUCCAUUUUUUAAUAUGAUUGGUCAAAUAGAAACUGUAUUUCAUGAUGUGACUUAAUCCUAGUAACAAUAAAUUUAUUAUAGGAGUUCAGGGGCUUUGAUUGGAGACAAUUGGGUCUAGUAUCAUUGCUCCCACACUUGUGUUCAUUCUCAUUUGUGUACUUGCUGGAGUCUUCAUGUAUAAAAUUCUACGCAGGUAUUUUUUUUUUUGGGGGGGUGGGGGGGUGGGGAUGGGGGGUUAUACUUCAGAAUGUCUGUAUUUAAAUUAAGCAAAAUAUUAUAAACAUAUUAUAAGCAACGUAGUAUGCACAGGAAGCAAUGUGGAAUGCACAUGAUGACAGGGAGGUGACGGCGGUGCAUAAAUGAAGUCACCCCUCCCACUUCUGGUAGUAAGAGAUUUUUUAUCCUGUGUGAAUUGGCCAUUAAUAUAGCAGAAAUCCAGUGGUAAAAUUACUGCAUCUACAAUCUACCCUUGUAAACCUAAUCUCGUCCAAAUGGUGCUUAAGUCAAACCAUCUAGAGCCACCAAGAAGUCAAAGUUGCACUGAUUUCUGCUUGUAACUUAAAUUUUGUCAAAGACAUACUUUUUUGAACUCAUCUUAAAUACUUUAUCAGAUCAUCCCCAACUUUGGUUCAAAGAUGUUGAGACAGUACCGUUCUCAACCAUUCUAAUGUAACAGCAAGGACUCCAAAGUAAAACUGUAUCUCACUUUUACACUGUUAUUACUGAUUGCAGACAGCUUCAUCAUUAGGGCUUGGCCAUAUAUCUAACGAUAUGAUCAUGCGCAUCUAGUCAGUAAAUCUGGUUCCUUGAUUAGCGCUAAAUCGCCAUCACCUGCUUUCAAAUGGAGCGGCAUUUAAUAGACAGAGCCGUAGAUCACUGACAAGGUACGCAAUAUCGCGUUCAAUAUCGAAGGCGAUUCAUCUGGGAUAAUGAACACGAUAUUGCGUACCUUGUCAGUGAUCUACGGCUCUGUCUAUUUAAUGCCGCUCCAUUUGAAAGCAGGUGAUGGCGAUUUAGCGCUAAUCAAGGAACCAGAUUUACUGACUAGAUGCGCAUGAUCAUAUCGUUAGAUAUAUCGCCCAGCCCUAAUCCAGAUAUGCAAGGAUCACAAUCUGAGGAGGUAUGUGCAGUAUGACAUGAAUUUGUCAAUUUUCACUUAUUAAUUAUUGUUAAAACCUUUGGAUUUAUAAUACACUAGCAAUUUCAACCCUCUUCCCCUGAUGUAGGAGGUCAGUUUGGAACAGAUUAUCAAGGUGGGGUUUUCUUUACUAAACUUAUCUUUUUAUCUUUGUAUUUGUUCCUGAGACUAAAUUUAACAUUUCUCUCCCAGUAGUUUAAGAAUGUCUGACAGAGGAGCAGCUCGGACUAAUAGAGGAAACAGGAGUGAUAGAAGGCAAGUACAACAUAGAAAGGUCAAAAAAGUUAGUGUUGGUAUUUAUUUCUAAUGAACUAACUAGUGCCAUNAACAUUAAA